rnacentral:rRNA from 1 species
UACAGAGGUGGCAAGCGUUGUUCGGAAUUACUGGGCGUAAAGGGCGCGUAGGCGGUUGCCUAAGUCGGACGUGAAAUCCCCAAGCUUAACUUGGGAACUGCAUCUGAUACUGGGUGACUUGAGUUCGGGAGAGGAAUGUGGAAUUCCAGGUGUAGCGGUGAAAUGCGUAGAUAUCUGGAGGAACACCGGUGGCGAAGGCGGCAUUCUGGACAGAUACCGACGCUGAGGCACGAAAGCUAGGGGAGCAAACAGG